AGCAGCCGCGGUAAUUCCAGCUCCAAUAGCGUAUAUUAAAGUUGUUGCAGUUAAAAAGCUCGUAGUUGAAUUUCGGGAUCAAUACGUCGGUCGUGCUUAGGUACGUACUGGCGUAAUUGAUUUCUCCCUUCUGACGAACCAUGAUGUCAUUAACUUGGUGUCAUGGGAAAUCAGGACUGUUACUUUGAAAAAAUUAGAGUGUUUAAAGCAGGCUCACGCUUGAAUACAUUAGCAUGGAAUAAUGAAAUAGGACGUUCGAUCCUAUUUUGUUGGUUUUAGGAUCAACGUAAUGAUUAAUAGGGAUAGUUGGGGGCAUUAGUAUUCAAUUGUCAGAGGUGAAAUUCUUGGAUUUAUUGAAGACUAACUACUGCGAAAGCAUUUGCCAAGGAUGUUUUCUAUUAAUCAAGAACGAAAGUUAGGGGAUCGAAGACGAUCAGAUACCGUCGUAGUCUUAACCAUAAACUAUGCCGACUAGGGAUCGGAUGAUGUUAAUUUUUAAUGACUCAUUCGGCGCCUUAAC
rnacentral:rRNA from 1 species